UGGGGAAUAUUGCACAAUGGGCGCAAGCCUGAUGCAGCAACGCCGCGUGAGGGACGACGGCCUUCGGGUUGUAAACCUCUUUUAGUAGGGAAGAAGCGAAAGUGACGGUACCUGCAGAAAAAGCACCGGCUAACUACGUGCCAGCAGCCGCGGUAAUACGUAGGGUGCGAGCGUUGUCCGGAAUUAUUGGGCGUAAAGAGCUCGUAGGCGGUCUGUCGCGUCUGCUGUGAAAACCCGAGGCUCAACCUCGGGCCUGCAGUGGGUACGGGCAGACUAGAGUGCGGUAGGGGAGAAUGGAAUUCCUGGUGUAGCGGUGGAAUGCGCAGAUAUCAGGAGGAACACCGAUGGCGAAGGCAGUUCUCUGGGCCGUAACUGACGCUGAGGAGCGAAAGCGUGGGGAGCGAACAGGAUUAGAUACCCUGGUAGUCCACGCCGUAAACGUUGGGCGCUAGAUGUGGGGCACCAUUCCACGGUUUCCGUGUCGCAGCUAACGCAUUAAGCGCCCCGCCUGGGGAGUACGGCCGCAAGGCUAAAACU
rnacentral:rRNA from 1 species